UACGAAGGGGGCUAGCGUUGCUCGGAAUUACUGGGCGUAAAGCGCACGUAGGCGGCUCUUUAAGUCGGGGGUGAAAUCCUGGAGCUCAACUCCAGAACUGCCUUCGAUACUGGAGAGCUUGAGUUCGGGAGAGGUGAGUGGAACUGCGAGUGUAGAGGUGAAAUUCGUAGAUAUUCGCAAGAACACCGGGUGGCGAAGGCGCUCUCUGGGGCCUUACCUGACGCUGAGGAGCGAAAGCGUGGGUAGCGAACAGG
rnacentral:rRNA from 1 species